UACGUAGGGGGCGAGCGUUUGUCCGGAUUUAUUGGGCGUAAAGAGCUCGUAGGCGGCUCAGUAAGUCAGGUGUGAAAACUCCAGGCUCAACCUGGAGACGCCACCUGAUACUGCUGUGGCUAGAGUCCGGUAGGGGAGCAUGGAAUUCCUGGUGUAGCGGUGAAAUGCGCAGAUAUCAGGAGGAACACCAGUGGCGAAGGCGGUGCUCUGGGCCGGAACUGACGCUGAGGAGCGAAAGCGUGGGGAGCAAACAGG
rnacentral:rRNA from 1 species